rfam:Pneumocystis murina B123 supercont1.13, whole genome shotgun sequence.
GGGUUGGUAGCUCAGUUGGGAUGAGCGUUGCACUGAAGAUGCAAAGGUCCCGUGUUCGAUCCACGGCCGACCCA